rnacentral:rRNA from 1 species
GACGAACGCUGGCGGCGUGCUUAACACAUGCAAGUCGAACGGAAAGGCCCUGCUUUUGUGGGGUGCUCGAGUGGCGAACGGGUGAGUAACACGUGAGUAACCUGCCCUUGACUUUGGGAUAACUUCAGGAAACUGGGGCUAAUACCGGAUAGGAGCUCCUGCUGCAUGGUGGGGGUUGGAAAGUUUCGGCGGUUGGGGAUGGGCUCGCGGCUUAUCAGCUUGUUGGUGGGGUAGUGGCUUACCAAGGCUUUGACGAGUAGCCGGCCUGAGAGGGUGACCGGCCACAUUGGGACUGAGAUACGGCCCAGACUCCUACGGGAGGCAGCAGUGGGGAAUAUUGCACAAUGGGCGGAAGCCUGAUGCAGCAACGCCGCGUGCGGGAUGACGGCCUUCGGGUUGUAAACCGCUUUCGCCUGUGACGAAGCGUGAGUGACGGUAAUGGGUAAAGAAGCACCGGCUAACUACGUG